rnacentral:rRNA from 1 species
GGGACACGUGGUAUCCUGUCUGAAUAUGGGGGGACCAUCCUCCAAGGCUAAAUACUCCUGACUGACCGAUAGUGAACCAGUACCGUGAGGGAAAGGCGAAAAGAACCCCGGCGAGGGGAGUGAAAAAGAACCUGAAACCGUGUACGUACAAGCAGUGGGAGCACGCUUAGGCGUGUGACUGCGUACCUUUUGUAUAAUGGGUCAGCGACUUAUAUUCUGUAGCAAGGUUAACCGAAUAGGGGAGCCGAAGGGAAACCGAGUCUUAACUGGGCGUUAAGUUGCAGGGUAUAGACCCGAAACCCGGUGAUCUAGCCAUGGGCAGGUUGAAGGUUGGGUAACACUAACUGGAGGACCGAACCGACUAAUGUUGAAAAAUUAGCGGAUGACUUGUGGCUGGGGGUGAAAGGCCAAUCAAACCGGGAGAUAGCUGGUUCUCCCCGAAAGCUAUUUAGGUAGCGCCUCGUGAAUUCAUCUCCGGGGGUAGAGCACUGUUUCGGCAAGGGGGUCAUCCCGACUUACCAACCCGAUGCAAACUGCGAAUACCGGAGAAUGUUAUCACGGGAGACACACGGCGGGUGCUAACGUCCGUCGUGAAGAGGGAAACAACCCAGACCGCCAGCUAAGGUCCCAAAGUCAUGGUUAAGUGGGAAACGAUGUGGGAAGGCCCAGACAGCCAGGAUGUUGGCUUAGAAGCAGCCAUCAUUUAAAGAAAGCGUAAUAGCUCACUGGUCGAGUCGGCCUGCGCGGAAGAUGUAACGGGGCUAAACCAUGCACCGAAGCUGCGGCAGCGACGCUUAUGCGUUGUUGGGUAGGGGAGCGUUCUGUAAGCCUGUGAAGGUGUGCUGUGAGGCAUGCUGGAGGUAUCAGAAGUGCGAAUGCUGACAUAAGUAACGAUAAAGCGGGUGAAAAGCCCGCUCGCCGGAAGACCAAGGGUUCCUGUCCAACGUUAAUCGGGGCAGGGUGAGUCGACCCCUAAGGCGAGGCCGAAAGGCGUAGUCGAUGGGAAACAGGUUAAUAUUCCUGUACUUGGUGUUACUGCGAAGGGGGGACGGAGAAGGCUAUGUUGGCCGGGCGACGGUUGUCCCGGUUUAAGCGUGUAGGCUGGUUUUCCAGGCAAAUCCGGAAAAUCAAGGCUGAGGCGUGAUGACGAGGCACUACGGUGCUGAAGCAACAAAUGCCCUGCUUCCAGGAAAAGCCUCUAAGCAUCAGGUAACAUCAAAUCGUACCCCAAACCGACACAGGUGGUCAGGUAGAGAAUACCAAGGCGCUUGAGAGAACUCGGGUGAAGGAACUAGGCAAAAUGGUGCCGUAACUUCGGGAGAAGGCACGCUGAUAUGUAGGUGAAGUCCCUUGCGGAUGGAGCUGAAAUCAGUCGAAGAUACCAGCUGGCUGCAACUGUUUAUUAAAAACACAGCACUGUGCAAACACGAAAGUGGACGUAUACGGUGUGACGCCUGCCCGGUGCCGGAAGGUUAAUUGAUGGGGUCAGCGCAAGCGAAGCUCUUGAUCGAAGCCCCGGUAAACGGCGGCCGUAACUAUAACGGUCCUAAGGUAGCGAAAUUCCUUGUCGGGUAAGUUCCGACCUGCACGAAUGGCGUAAUGAUGGCCAGGCUGUCUCCACCCGAGACUCAGUGAAAUUGAACUCGCUGUGAAGAUGCAGUGUACCCGCGGCAAGACGGAAAGACCCCGUGAACCUUUACUAUAGCUUGACACUGAACAUUGAGCCUUGAUGUGUAGGAUAGGUGGGAGGCUUGGAAGUGUGGACGCCAGUCUGCAUGGAGCCGACCUUGAAAUACCACCCUUUAAUGUUUGAUGUUCUAACGUUGACCCGUAAUCCGGGUUGCGGACAGUGUCUGGUGGGUAGUUUGACUGGGGCGGUCUCCUCCUAAAGAGUAACGGAGGAGCACGAAGGUUGGCUAAUCCUGGUCGGACAUCAGGAGGUUAGUGCAAUGGCAUAAGCCAGCUUGACUGCGAGCGUGACGGCGCGAGCAGGUGCGAAAGCAGGUCAUAGUGAUCCGGUGGUUCUGAAUGGAAGGGCCAUCGCUCAACGGAUAAAAGGUACUCCGGGGAUAACAGGCUGAUACCGCCCAAGAGUUCAUAUCGACGGCGGUGUUUGGCACCUCGAUGUCGGCUCAUCACAUCCUGGGGCUGAAGUAGGUCCCAAGGGUAUGGCUGUUCGCCAUUUAAAGUGGUACGCGAGCUGGGUUUAGAACGUCGUGAGACAGUUCGGUCCCUAUCUGCCGUGGGCGCUGGAGAACUGAGGGGGGCUGCUCCUAGUACGAGAGGACCGGAGUGGACGCAUCACUGGUGUUCGGGUUGUCAUGCCAAUGGCACUGCCCGGUAGCUAAAUGCGGAAGAGAUAAGUGCUGAAAGCAUCUAAGCACGAAACUUGCC